UUAUUAGUCUUUGUGGGUUCGAUAAUCUUUAAAACUACACGAUAGGACUGUGCACUUGCAGUCAAGAUUCACAUAGACUUACUAAGUCACGAUCACCCCCAAGUCAACAGAAAUUUGAAUGUUGUAUACGCGCUCACACUCAUGGCCAUUCUCAGAUCACCUCGCCGAACUUCCACCAUGGGCCACCGCACCGGAAGUCGCUCCCGGCAGCGAUGGGCACCAAAACACAAAUCGGAGCUACCAAAAUGUACAUCUCCUCACGCUCUACUAGAAUCUUUGGACAAUUUCAAGAAAAUGGAACUCCACAACUCUAACAGAACCUUUCCACUCCAAGAACUCUAACAUGUAAUCCUAAAAUUAAAUUCUAACCUCAAUGAUUCAAAGCCUCUAGGAUGAGGGCUUUGAAUCCUCUCAACACUCUAUACAUACUAGUAGCCAAGGAUUGAAGAAAUGAAAAGAUUUUCAUAAUUACCUUGCCGGAGUUAGAGACUGUGAUGAUUUGAUUCCAGGUAAUGCUUUUGAAUGCUUGUUCCUUGUACUGAUUGUAACCUCUUAAUCUUCUCUUUCUUCUGGAUUCAAAAAUGGUGAAUUGAAUGCUUUGGUAUUUAAUUGGAGAGGCUUAGCAUAAGCAAUAUUGAAGCUCUAAUGGUGAGCUUCAAUGGCUUUGGGAUUAUGCGUGUAGUGAGGUUUAGGGAGAGAAAGGAAAUUUAGAGAGUGCUUAGGAGCUUGAGGAUAAUGAUUCCAAGGGUACUACAAACGAGAUGAUGGUUAGAUAGGACUUAGGUUUGGAUUAAAAUAGGUUUGGAUUCAGGUCUAGAAUUAGUUAGGACCAGUUUGGAGUUGCUUAGGAGUUGGUUAAGAUGAACUCAGUGAGUUCAUUUUGUUAACUCACUGAGUUGGCAGUUAGUUGAUUGUUCUAGUUAGUUAAUUGGUUAGGAUGAGUGAAUCUGAAUUGUUUUUCUUUGACUGGUUAUGGCAUGUUGUAACUUAAGUGAAAUUGGCUUAACCUGAGUGGUGACAUGCUGAACAGGUCCACUCCUUUUAAUGCCAACUUGGUUAGUGAAUUGAAUUUUGUGAAUGAGUUUAGUUAACUUUUGGUUUUGUUGCAAUGCCUUGAUGUUGAAUUGUUGUGUAGGUAUUAGGUUAUGUUAUUGUAGGGUUUAUAUGGUUGGAUGCACAGUAGCAGGUUGUUUGAUGGUGAUGUUGGCAGGGUGGUUUGCAUUGGUCAUAUGUGAUGCAUUAGAGGUAUGCAAGUGUGAAGGUUCUGAAGGUUUGGCAAUGUCAAGUUAGGUUAAUCAUUGGCAUGCUGCAUAUUAAAUAUCAUGGCCUUGUUUUAUGUUGAUGCAGGGUGUUUUCUCAUUGUUUCUUAGGAUGAAUGAAUGUGUUGCAGAUGGUUUUGUGAAUGGUUUUUGGAUUUGUUUCAAAGCAGGUUAUGACUCAUGUCUACAUAUGCUUUAUGGCAUGAUUCAUUUGCAAGUAUGCAUCAUAUUGGUCAUGUAGGCAUGGAUUCAGGUGGUCUUUGUUUGGCAAUGGUGUAUGUAUGAUUCAUGGCUUCUGUUGGCAGGAUUGUUUUCAUUGCUAACUUUUGGAUAACUUGGCAUGUAUGGCCUUGUUUCUGCAGGUUUUAUAUUGCAAGGUUUUGCAACUGGUUCUGCUGAGACCUAUUUGCAUUAUGGCCUUGAUGCUUGAAUUGCAGGUUUUGUCUCUGUUGGUCCAUUAUUAUGCUAUAUUGGUCUGCUCAUGGUCCUGCUGUAGGCUUGGUUUGCUGGUAUGCCUUGCAGGUAUCAUGGUCAGGCUGCAUUGUUGAUGGUUCUACUAGGCAGGUUCUGACCUCAGGUUGCAGUGGUAUUCUUAUGUUCUGCCAUGGCCUUUGAUGUAGCACAGGUCUGAAUUGGUUUUACAGGAAGCUUGGUUUACCUGCUGCAAUGUUGUAGGAUGGCCUUGGAUAUGUGCUUACAGCAUGAUUGGACUGAAUGUUAUGAUUAUAAUUGCUUGCUGCAGGUCUAUGUAUGUUGCAAUAUGGAAGCUGAACUAGUGAAUUAUGAAUGUUGCAGGAUGAACAGUUUGCUAUGGAUGACUGCUGCAGCAUAUUGCAUAAUUUCAUAACCAGGUUCUGCAGGUCAUAUGCAUAUGGACGUUGAUUGAACAAGACAACAUGACAUCAAGUUGAAGUUUUGAAGCAACAUGUCUAAAUGGAAAACCAAAGGACCAAGAUUGAGAAAUAGGAUUAGGAUUUUAGGAUUUUAGGGUUUUAGGAUGGAAAAAGAGUUAAGUUGACUUUGGUCAAAGUUGACCAGAAAGUCAAUUGUUGACAAAAGUCAGCAUUUGGUCAACAUGUCCAAUUUUUUGUAAUUUUUGAUGUAGUGAAUAUUUCUAUGCAAUGUAGAUGAUUAUUUGGAUGA